rnacentral:rRNA from 1 species
GACGAACGCUGGCGGCGUGCUUAACACAUGCAAGUCGAACGGAAAGGCCCUGCUUUUGUGGGGUGCUCGAGUGGCGAACGGGUGAGUAACACGUGAGUAUCCUGCCCUUGACUUUGGGAUAACUUCCGGAAACUGGGGCUAAUACCGGAUAGGAGCUCCUGCUGCAUGGUGGGGGUUGGAAAGUUUCGGCGGUUGGGGAUGGACUCGCGGCUUAUCAGCUUGUUGGUGGGGUAGUGGCUUACCAAGGCUUUGACGGGUAGCCGGCCUGAGAGGGUGACCGGCCACAUUGGGACUGAGAUACGGCCCAGACUCCUACGGGAGGCAGCAGUGGGGAAUAUUGCACAAUGGGCGGAAGCCUGAUGCAGCAACGCCGCGUGCGGGAUGACGGCCUUCGGGUUGUAAACCGCUUUCGCCUGUGACGAAGCGUGAGUGACGGUAAUGGGUAAAGAGGCACCGGCUAACUACGUG